rnacentral:rRNA from 1 species
AUGUGCCAAGGCAAAAGGGUGGAUGGCAAGAUUGUGGCCCAAGACCACAAACAACUCACGUCCGAGUUCAUCGCUUACAGGCUCUCGAACCCAAUAUCCACACUUCCAACAAUGAGCGUCCAACAUGUCAUUGACCUUGUGAAAGCCAUCUUUCAUUACAAGGUGAAAUACGGCAAGGCAUGGAAGGCGAAGCAAGCCGCAUUUAAGAUGUUGUAUGGUACAUGGGAGGAAGCAUACAACCGAAUCCCUAGGUUGUUGUUAGCCAUGGCCGCGACAAACCCGGGCAUGGUUCAUGUGGUCGAGCCUCAUGGGCACCAAACAACGGUUCAUGAAGGAAGGAAAGUCAGAGUAUUUGGCCGUGCUUUUUGGGCGUUCGAGCAAUGUGUGAGGGCUUUCGAACAUUGUAGGCCAGUCAUCGCAAUUGAUGGCACGUUCUUGACCGGACAAUACAAGGGCACCUUGUUGGUUGCGAUAGCAAGUGAUGCCAAUAACCGGGUGUUGCCAUUGGCAUUUACUUUGGUUGAGGUGGAAAACAAUGACAACUGGGAGUGGUUUCUGCAUCUUUUGAGGACGAAGGUGUUACCCGCUCAAAGGGAAAUUUGUGUCAUAUCGGAUCGGAAUCAAGGAAUUCUUAACGCCGUGGAGACUGACAUUCCCGGGCAUGCUCCGUUGCACCAUCGAUGGUGCAUGAGGCACUUUUGUUCGAACUUCUAUAGGGCAUGUGGCCUUAAGGAGUUGGUCGAUGAUCUUCAAGAUUGUUGUCUCGCUUUCUCCGAUAAGCGCUUCUCCACUUUGUACAACAAAUUGCUCGCACACAAAAAACUUGAUCCCGGGGGUCAAGAGUUUCUCAAUAGGCACAUUCAAUACCGGAACAAGUGGGCACGUGCUUUUGAUGAAGAUGGCCGGAGAUACGGUCAAAUGACAAGCAAUAUGGCCGAAUGCUUCAAUAGGGUGCUCAAAGGUGCACGUGGAUUACCCAUGACGGCAAUAGUUCAAUACACAUUUGACAAGAUGAAUGCGUACUUUGUAAAGUACUCGAUGGAAACCGAUGCACAGAUAGCGGGUGAGAACCCACGGAAGUACAAGUACAAGUCCCCACCCAAAGUUGAUGAAUGGUUGCUAUUUCAAUCACGGAAGGCGGACUCAGAAGAAGCUAUAUUAUAUGACAAUGAGGAGUGGAAGUACGAAGUGAAAGAGCCAGGAGGAACCACAAACGAUGGCCGGCAACAUGGAGGUCGGGCUUUCAAGGUGUCGUUAACACAAUGUGAUUGCACUUGCGGGAGGCCAUUGUUGCUUCAUCUCCCAUGCUCACAUUUGUAUGCCGCCGGCCGCGUUAGGAAUGUGGACAUCAAUCACCCACGCAUGGCCCAAUCCUUGAUCUUCCGCUGCUUUUUCCUAUCCAACCUGCAAGUUAGAAACAGAAUAUUAGCAUCAUCGAAACCGUCGAGAAGCUGCUAA